rnacentral:rRNA from 1 species
GACGAACCGUGCGAACGUUGUUCGGAAUCACUGGGCUUAAAGGGCGCGUAGGCGGGCUGCCGCGUCCGGGGUGAAAUCCUCCCGCUCAACGGGAGAACGGCCUCGGAUACGGGCGGCCUCGAGGGGGGUAGGGGCGUCUGGAACUGUGGGUGGAGCGGUGAAAUGCGUUGAUACUCCACGAGGACUCCGGUGGCGAAAGCGGCGCACUGGACCACAACUGACGCUGAGGCGCGAAAGCUAGGGGAGCAAACGGG